rnacentral:rRNA from 1 species
CCUACGGGAGGCAGCAGUGAGGAAUAUUGGUCAAUGGGCGAGAGCCUGAACCAGCCAAGUAGCGUGAAGGAUGACUGCCCUAUGGGUUGUAAACUUCUUUUAUAAAGGAAUAAAGUCGGGUAUGGAUACCCGUUUGCAUGUACUUUAUGAAUAAGGAUCGGCUAACUCCGUGCCAGCAGC